rnacentral:rRNA from 1 species
AUUGAACGCUGGCGGCAGGCUUAACACAUGCAAGUCGAGCGGAGAUGAGGUGCUUGCACCUUAUCUUAGCGGCGGACGGGUGAGUAAUGCUUAGGAAUCUGCCUAUUAGUGGGGGACAACAUUCCGAAAGGAAUGCUAAUACCGCAUACGUCCUACGGGAGAAAGCAGGGGAUCUUCGGACCUUGCGCUAAUAGAUGAGCCUAAGUCGGAUUAGCUAGUUGGUGGGGUAAAGGCCUACCAAGGCGACGAUCUGUAGCGGGUCUGAGAGGAUGAGCCUGCGCGAUGGGACUGAGACACGGCCCAGACUCCGACGGGAGGCAGCAGUGGGGAAUAUUGGACAAUGGGGGGAACCCGGAUCCAGCCAUGCCGCGUGUGUGAAGAAGGCCUUAUGGUUGUAAAGCACUGUAAGCGAGGAGGAGGCUACUGAGACUAAUACUCUUGGAUAGUGGACGUUACUCGCAGAAUAAGCACCGGCUAACUCUGUGCCAGCCGCCGCCGUAAUAC